rnacentral:misc_RNA from 1 species
GAAAUGCGAUAAGUAGUGUGAAUUGCAGAAUUCAGUGAAUCAUCGAAUCUUUGAACGCACAUUGCGCCCUUUGGUAUUCCUUAGGGCAUGCCUGUUCGAGCGUCAUCUAAACCUUCAAGCCCUGCUUGGUGUUGGGUGCCUGUCCCGCCUCCGCGCGCGGACUCACCUCCAAUCCAUUGGCGGCCCCCGCGUCGGCCACGAGCGCAGCAGAAACGCGAACUCGUGAGCCCGUCCGGGCGGCUCCCAGAAGCUACACCCACCCAGUUUGACCUCGGAUCAGGUAGGGAUACCCGCUGAACUUAAGC